rnacentral:rRNA from 1 species
AUACGGUGGAUCCGAGCGUUAUCCGGAUUUAUUGGGUUUAAAGGGUGCGCAGGCGGCCAUUUAAGUCAGCGGUUAAAUCGUGGGGCUCAACCCCAUUCUGCCGUUGAUACUGGGUGGCUUGAUUGCGGUCGAGGUUGGCGGAAUUCGUUGUGUAGCGGUGAAAUGCAUAGAUAUGACGAAGAACACCGAUUGCGUAGGCAGCUGACCAGACCGCAAAUGACGCUCAUGCACGAAAGUGCGGGGAUCGAACAGGAUUAGAUACCCUGGUAGUCCGCACAGUAAACGAUGAAUACUUGUUUUCGGCGAUAUAAUGUCGGAGGCAAAGCGAAAGCGAUAAGUAUUCCACCUGGGGAGUACGCCGGCAACGGUGAAACUCAAAGGAAUUGGCGGGG